UACGUAGGGUGCAAGCGUUGUCCGGAAUUAUUGGGCGUAAAGGGCUCGUAGGCGGUCCAUCGCGUCGGGAGUGAAAAGCUGGGGCUUAACCCCAGUCCUGCUUCCGAUACGGGUGGACUAGAGGUAGGCAGGGGAGAACGGAAUUCCUGGUGUAGCGGUGAAAUGCGCAGAUAUCAGGAGGAACACCGGUGGCGAAGGCGGUUCUCUGGGCCUUACCUGACGCUGAGGCGCGAAAGCUAGGGUAGCAAACGGG
rnacentral:rRNA from 1 species